GGAUUUAAGGAUGGACAGGUCAGCUUAUUUCUGUUUUGGACCAUCACACAAGGGCCAGGGCAAGUCAAAAGGCCCUCUCUGCUUGCACACAUAUAACAAUGAAUACUGGACUGAACAACUGGAUUGACGAUUGUGAUGAGUAUUUGUAUACUGCCCUUCAUCUGAAGAUCACAGGCAGUUCACAACAAAAGAAUACAAAAUGAGAACACAAAAUACAUAAUGAAACAAAAACAAAGCAAUGACGCCCUCCCACAAACACACACUAUCAAAUAAGGAAAGAGGGGAGAAAUAGCGCCUUUUUAAAACUGUUUCUAUUAGUCAGUGCCAAGCAUUAAAAAACUUACUGCCAACUCCCACUUCUGGCAUUGCCAGCUUCUAGCAUCAUAGAUUAGUGUGGGUGGUUGAGAACAAGACAGGCCCAGAAUGUUGGCACCAGUUCUGGUACAACAGUCAUUGAAGUAGGUGACACGUCGCUCAGUCCAGCCAAUAGAACAAGUGCCACGCAGCUCAGGAAAUGCCCAGGGGCCAGGCGAUGCAGCAAGCCACGUAGCAAUGGCGGUGUCAGGGAGCGGGAAAGAGUAUUGGAGAGUCUGUUGUGCUCAGUGAUGCGGUGUUGCCUGGAUGUCCGAAUGAUGUGAUGCUCCCAAAAUAAUGCCCAGCACUGCAACUAGGGGUAUGUGCAUCUUUUCAAACAGCAAAUCUUCUGGGACGCCUUGUCAGUCUUGUCAUUAAGAGACAUUCUUCUCCAGUAACCGCGUUGCCCACUGUCAUAUUCAACUGGAGCAGGGUGCUGGCCUCUCUAUUGGCUUCUAAAGAUACUAGGAACCAGGGGGGCUCAAUCCGGCGGCGCUCAUAGACCUUUGAAGCUAAGAUACCACACAGAUGCGAUGUAGGCAUGUACUGGAAGUAACCAAAAGCUCUUCGCUUCUGUUUCUCAGAACCUAAAAAGAAUACACAAAACCUGACAACUCUG